UACGGGGGGGGCAAGCGUUGUUCGGAAUUACUGGGCGUAAAGGGCUCGUAGGCGGCCAACUAAGUCAGACGUGAAAUCCCCAGGCUCAACCUGGGAACUGCGUCUGAUACUGGAUGGCUUGAAUCCGGGAGAGGGAUGCAGAAUUCCAGGUGUAGCGGUGAAAUGCGUAGAGAUCGGGAGGAACAUCCGUGGCGAAGGCGACUACCUGGACCAGCACUGACACUGAGGCACGAAAGCGUGGGGAGCAAACAGG
rnacentral:rRNA from 1 species